GAAGGCAAAGGCGCUUCAGCGGGACCUGGGGAGCAACGGGACCCCCACCCCCAGCGGCACGGCGGGCCCGGGGUCUCCACAGGCCCGACAGAGGGACGACAGUACACACAGGGCCCUGGAGCUCAGGCUCGGGUGCGUGGCAGUGCCGCGGGCGUCACCGGCGAGGAGGAAGCGGGCGUCACCAGCGAGGCCGCACAUGGCCGGCGGCGCUCAAGCGGAGGGGCGGCCCGGGGCGCGGUACCUGCGGUCGGGCGGCGGGCUGCUGCUCCUGCGAGCCUCCUUUGGCCGGCCGGGACCCCACCGUACCCUCGCCCUCGUCCGCCUCGCUCCCGACUCCUUUCCCUCUCUUUCCCCCUUUUUGCCCCUUCCUCGGCCGUGGCUCCAAGAUGGCGGCGCCGAGACAGAUCACGUGAGCGGCGAGCCGGUCAGGUGAGC
ensembl:antisense E130304I02Rik RIKEN cDNA E130304I02 gene